ensembl:snRNA
GUAUUGUAUGAAAGGAGAGAAGUCUAGCACUCCCCUUGACAAGGAUGGAACAGGCUUCGGCCUACAACACACAUACAGUUAGGGCAUUGCCACAUAUUUUGUGGCAUCUAACUGCUGUUUUUA